UACGGAGGGUGCAAGCGUUAUCCGGAUUCAAUGGGUUUAAAGGGUGCGUAGGCGGGCAGGUAAGUCAGUGGGGAAAUCUCCGGGCUUAACCCGGAAACUGCCGUUGAUACUAUCUGUCUUGAAUAUCGUGGAGGUAAGCGGAAUAUGUCAUGUAGCGGUGAAAUGCUUAGAUAUGACAUAGAACACCCAUUGCGAAGGCAGCUUACUACACGAUCAUUGACGCUGAGGCACGAAAGCGUGGGGAGCAAACAGG
rnacentral:rRNA from 1 species